CAAGGAUGAACUGCUAUCAUCCACCUUUUCAUCUACUUGAUUUGUGUAAUAACUGCAAGGAUGAACUGCUAUCAUCCACCUUUUCUAAAGAGUGAUGCAUUAUCGUAUGUCAAUCUAACAUUUAAGGGCCAGGGGAGCUGGGGUGACUGUGUACAUCUAUCAUGUAGGAUUACCCUUGACAAGGAAGAGUGGAUGGUAAACGUUCUCAAAUCAUCAAAUCUGGGACAAGUCUUGACGAGGGACUUUUCGCUCCUUUACGACUUGGAUCAAGAAGGGACUUCUUUGGGUUACUAUGUGCUUUUCCCAGUUCCGUGGACAUUCUGGUUCUAGAACAGUUCCGUGGACAUUCUGGUUCUAGAACAGUUCCGUGGACAUUCUGGUUCUAGAACAGUUCCGUGGACAUUCUGGUUCUAGAACAGAAUCGUGGACAUCAUGAUGUUCCACCCAUCGAAUUAGAACAGAGUAGAAUUCUAUUCAGUGCUCAUAACUGAACAACCGUGGCUUCACCAAUCUCCACACACUUAAAAUCUCCUCCAAUGCUUAUACCGUAUCAGUGUAGUCUGUCUAGACAGAUGGGUUGAGACUAGUAUCAGAGGGUUUAAGGAGUUUGGAUCAGGUUGCUCCUCAACAUCUAAUAAGACACUAUGUAGGAGUAAGGUCUCUAACCACAGAUCUAGGAUCAGAUUACCAGAACCCCCAGCACUAACCUUUACCAGUAGACUAAAGAAAGACAUCGGAUCCUGUAUCAGUUCUAGGAGGCAACUUCUACUAUGUCACACACAAGCAGACGUGGGGCAGCAACGUUUUGGAAAUUUCAGAUAGAAAUAUGCUCUGUGGCAUAUAGAACAAUGUUCCACGUCAGCUCUAUUCAUGGAAAUCCUAACUACAGCGUUCGACAACGGUCGGCUACUGAACGUGGACAAGCAGUUACUUAGCCUGAUGAAACCAGACAUAAUGAAGGGAAACAAAAGAGAAGCGCUGGGAAAUCAGUUGGAUACCAGACUAGCUGUUGCUCAUAAACAAUAUAACACGCAAGUAGACCAUCAAAUGUACAGCAUUACUGGGGUCGUAUUCAUUGGGCACCAAACGGAAGACAACAGACCGAAACAGAGAGGAAACUACCCUCUCUGUUUUGCAACGUUGUGCCCUAAUGAAUACGACCCAGGAUGAAUCUUUUCAUUUUACUCGAUGGUAUCUUUGAUUUGUCUUCUUCUCUUUAUCUCCAAGCUGUACAAUACCAUGUAUCUACUGUUCAUUCAAUUCAACAUCUACGGAACUUUCUGGGCCACUACUAUUCUAUCAAAACAACUUGAAAUGUACUAAAAAAAUAAAUACAAAAUGUGACCGGUAAAACACCA